rnacentral:rRNA from 1 species
AGCGGCGAACGGGUGAGUAAUGCUUCGGAAUCUGCCCAAUGGUGGGGAAUAACCAGCCGAAAGGUUGGCUAAUACCGCAUAAGUCCUACGGGAGAAAGCAGGGGAUCGCAAGACCUUGCGCCGAUGGAUGAGCCGAAGUCGGAUUAGCUAGUUGGUGGGGUAACGGCCUACCAAGGCGACGAUCCGUAGCUGGUCUGAGAGGACGACCAGCCACACUGGGACUGAGACACGGCCCAGACUCCUACGGGAGGCAGCAGUGGGGAAUAUUGGACAAUGGGGGCAACCCUGAUCCAGCGACGCCGCGUGUGUGAAGAAGGCCUGCGGGUUGUAAAGCACUUUUAGUGGGGAUGAAAAGCUCAGGGCUAAUACCUCUGGGUCUUGACCUAACCCAAAGAAAAAGCACCGGCUAACUCUGUGCCAGCAGCCGCGGUAAUACAGAGGGUGCGAGCGUUAAUCGGAAUUACUGGGCGUAAAGCGUGCGUAGACGGUUAUGUAAGUCGGGUGUGAAAGCCCCGGGCUCAACCUGGGAAUGCCAUUCGA